CUGAGUUAUCUAACUCCCAAACCAUUGUGAACUUACCACUGUUGCCUCGGCGGCGACCUCCUUCUGUUUGUUCAGUUGGGGAAAACCGCCGGUGGACUACUAAACUCUUGUUAAUUUUUGUCAAUCUGAAUAAAAAACUUAAUAAGUUA
rnacentral:misc_RNA from 2 species